rfam:Cavia porcellus supercont2_21 genomic scaffold, whole genome shotgun sequence.
GGAUGGGAGGGCAGUCUGGCUGGCCAGGUGGAUGACCCUGUCCCCCUUGUGGCUCCUGUGUGUCCCUUCUGAAGCAGAGGAAGAGCACCUAAGAGGAGAUCAGGUCGCUCGGGCAAGGAUGUGUGAGUAGCUGUGCUCUCCUGGAAGCUCCAAGCCAGCUCUCAAGGUCAUAAUGAUGCCCACUAGAGGAACAAAGCUUCCAUUGGUGUGGCCAUGGGGGAAGCACGGAUU